AAAGUUAAAUAGAUAGCUUUCAGUUUAGCUACGUUAACGUCGUUAGUCCUUUGGCUAGGUAACUUUCCGUUAGCUAGCUAAGUUAGUCGAGGAUUGUUGCUAACUUUAUGUAACUAGCUAGCUAAUUUGCUAGCAGUUAAUUACAUAUCUAACUACAUUGCUAACUUGGCUAGCUUUGGAUUUGUCGACAUGUUGACAGACUGCAUCACGACAUGUCUUUGAUAACAUUACACAGGUCAGAAAGAGAAGGCGAAGUUUGCCCCGCUGGUGCCCCGUGAGAAGAAGCCAGGGCAUGGAGAGAAAGGAGAGGUGAAAAGAGUGAGAAUAAGUGGAAAGAAGAGGGGGGUGGAAAUAAGGAGAGAAACAUUGAUGUAGGAAAGAAGACAGGAGAAUCAUGAGGAAGACCAAUCCAGUAAGGAAACAGAUCAAGGGAAGGAGAGAAUGAAUGUGAAAAAGAAGAAAGAGAAUGAGAAGGUCAGAAAGGAGAGGAAAGAGACGAAAAAGAAGAGACAGAGGGAUGAGACAGAGAGCAAUAAGAAGGUAGGAGUAAAUCAUAUUUAUUGUGAUAGGAAUACAGUUAGUGUUCCUUACUUAGCCAGUAGUAAUACAGUUAGUAGGCCUUAAUUAGCCAGUACUAAUACAGUUAGUAGGCCUUACUUAGCCAGUAGUAAUACAGUUAGUAGGCCUUAAUUUGCCAGUAGUAAUACAGUUAGUAGGCCUUAAUUAGCCAGUAGUAAUACAGCUAGUAGGCCUUCAUUAGCCAGUAUUAAUACAGUUAGUAGGCCUUACUUAACCAGUAGUCAUACAGUUAGUUCGCCUUACUGAGCCAGUAUUAAUACAGUUGGUAGGCCUUAAUUAGCCAGUAGUAAUACAGUUAAUAGUCCUUAAUUAGCCAGUAGUCAUACAGUUAGUAGGCCUUAAUUAGCCAGUAGUAAUACAGUUAGUAGGCCUUAAUUAGCCAGUAGUAAUACAGUUAGUAGGCCUUAAUUAGCCAGUAGUAAUACAGUUAGUAGGCCUUAAUUAGCCAGUAUUAAUACAGUUAGUAGGCCUUAAUUUGCCAGUAUUAAUACAGUUAGUAGGCCUUACUUAGCCAG
rnacentral:lncRNA from 1 species